UACCCCAGGUACCUAGAUAACCAUCAAUGUCAGUCUCAUACCCCAGGUACCUAGAUAACCAUCAGUGUCAGUCCCAUACCCCAGGUACCUAGAUAACCAUCAGUGUCAGUCUCAUACCCCAGGUACCUAAAUAACCAUCAGUGUUAGUCCCAUACCCCAGGUACCUAGAUAACCAUCAGUGUCAGUCCCAUACCCCAGGUACCUAGAUAACCAUCAGUGUCAGUCUCAUACCCCAGGUACCUAGAUAACCAUCAGUGUCAGUCCCAUACCCCAAGUACCUAGAUAACCAUCAGUGUUAGUCCCAUAAACCCCCGGUACCUAGAUAACCAUCAGUGUCAGUCCCAUACCCCAGGUACCUAGAUAACCAUCAGUGUCAGUCCCAUACCCCAGGUACCUAGAUAACCAUCAGUGUUAGUCCCAUACCCCAGGUACCUAGAUAACCAUCAGUGUCAGUCCCAUACCCCAGGUACCUAGAUAACCAUCAGUGUCAGUCCCAUACCCCAGGUACCUAGAUAACCAUCAGUGUCAGUCUCAUACCCCAGGUACCUAGAUAACCAUCAGUGUCAGUCCCAUACCCCAGGUACCUAGAUAACCAUCAGUGUCAGUCUCAUACCCCAGGUACCUAGAUAACCAUCAGUGUCAGUCUCAUACCCC